rnacentral:rRNA from 1 species
AAUGAACGCUGGCGGCAGGCCUAAAACAUGCAAGUCGAACACCCUAGCAAUAAAGAGUGGCGCACGGGUGAGUAACAUGUGGGAAUAUGCCUUUUGGUACGGAACAACGUUUGGAAACGAACGCUAAUACCGUAUGGUCCCUCCGGGGUAAAGAUUUAUCGCCAAAAGAUUAGCCCGCACUAGAUUAGCUAGUUGGUAAGGUAAUGGCUUACCAAGGCGACGAUCUAUAGCUGUUCUGAGAGGAAGAUCAGCCACACUGGGACUGAGACACGGCCCAGACUCCUACGGGAGGCAGCAGUUAGGAAUAUUGGACAAUGGGCGCAAGCCUGAUCCAGCCAUGCCGCGUGAGUGAUGAAGGCCUUCGGGUUGUAAAGCUCUUUAGCCGACGAAUAUAAUGACUGUAGUCGGAGAAUAAGCCCCGGCUAACUUCGUGCCAGCAGCCGCGGUAACAC